AAGAUUUUAUUAAACACAUGAUUUUUUUAUUGUGAUGAACAUUUUUUUAUCUGUUGAAAAAAUUUAGAAUUCGACGACCGGAUUUUGAAAUUUACAAAUAUUUUAUGGAUUUGACUGAUAUCUUUGAAUUUAACAAACAGAAAAUGUUCAUAAAAUGGAAAAGAAAAGAAAACAAGAAUUAGAAAUAAAUGGGAAACGGAAAGAAGACCGAACAUGAACAAAUAAAAAAA
rnacentral:lncRNA from 1 species